rnacentral:misc_RNA from 1 species
AAGUCGUAACAAGGUUUCCGUAGGUGAACCUGCGGAAGGAUCAUUGACAAAAUCUUAUUUUAUAUAAAUCUUUGUGAAUCGAAGCGUUUAACCAUCACAUAUCUAUCUAUCUAUCUACCUACUACUUUACAACUAUAUUACUUACUACAGGUAAAAUAGUAGUCAAGUAAGAAAAAGGAGUAGUAGUAGUUAUAUAGAUAGAUAGAUAGAGAGUUGGUUACACUUCCGUUAUUAUUAUUAUUAACGUAUAUAUUUUUAAGCCUGAUUUCAUUAAAAAAAAGUAAUUUAAAAACAACUUUUAACAAUGGAUCUCUUGGCUCUU